CUACGGGACGCUCCAGUGAGGAAUAUUGGACAAUGGAGGCAACUCUGAUCCAGCCAUGCCGCGUGCAGGAAGACGGCCCUAUGGGUUGUAAACUGCUUUUAUACGGGAAGAAACCCAACUACGUGUAGUUGGCUGACGGUACCGUAAGAAUAAGCACCGGCUAACUCCGUGCCAGCAGCCGCGGUAAUACGGAGGGUGCAAGCGUUAUCCGGAAUCAUUGGGUUUAAAGGGUCCGUAGGCGGACUGAUAAGUCAGGGGUGAAAUCCAACAGCUUAACUGUUGAACUGCCUUUGAUACUGUGAGUCUUGAAUUAUAUGGAAGUAGAUAGAAUGUGUAGUGUAGCGGUGAAAUGCUUAGAGAUUACACAGAAUACCGAUUGCGAAGGCAGUCUACUACGUAUAUAUUGACGCUAAUGGACGAAAGCGUGGGGAGCGAACAGAAUUAGAUACCCGAGUAGUC
rnacentral:rRNA from 1 species